CUCGGCGAAGGUGAGGCGGGACGCCCAUCCCCAGCGCGCACCUCCCCGGAAGGGCCCUCUGCCAACAUCCCCGACAGACGUUUUCUGCAUCUUCUGGGACCCGCAGGCUUGAGGAUUACCCGGAAUUGGCCCAGGUCCACGCAGUCCAUCCUCUCUGGCUGCAGCAGCACGAAGCCCAUGGGGUUUUACAAGGUCACCACGUGGAUAAGACCGAAGUGUCCUGUCACUUAAAAAGCUUUUGCACAGCAAAGGAAAUCAUAAACAUGAUGAAAAGACAACCCUCAGAAUGGGAGAAAAUAUUUGCAAAUGAAGCAUCUGACAAAGGAUUAAUCUCCAAAAUAUACAAGAAAAAACCCAAUCCAAAAAUGGGCAGAAGACCUAAAUAGACAUUUCUCCAAAGAAGAUAUACAGACUGCCAACAAACACAUGAAAGGAUGCUCAGCAUCACUAAUCAUUAGAGAAAUGCAAAUCAAAGCUACAAUGAGGUGUCACCUCACACCAGUCAGAAUGGCCAUCAUCAAAAAAUCUACAAACAGUAAAUGCUGGAGAGGGUGUGGAGAAAAGGGAACCCUCUUGCACUGUUGAUGGGAAUGUAAAUUGAUACAGCCACUAUGGAGAACAGUAUGAAGUUUCCUUAAAAAACUAAAAAUAGAACUACCAUAUGACCCAGCAAUCCCACUGCUGGGCAUAUACCCAGAGAAAACCAUAAUUCAAAAAGAGUCAUGUACCAAAUUGUUCAUUGCAGCUCUAUUCACAAUAGCCAGGACAUGGAAGCAACCUAAGUGUACAUCGACAGAUGAAUGGAUAAAGAAGAUGUGGCACAUAUAUACAAUGAAAUAUUACUCAGCCAUAAAAAGAAACGAAACUGAGUUAUUUGUAGUGAGGUGGAUGGACCUAGAGUCUGUCAUACAGAGUGAAGUAAGCCAGAAAAUGAAAAACAAAUACCGUAUGCUAACACAUAUAUAUGGAAUCUAAAAAAAAAAAAAAAAAAAAAAAACUGGUUCUGAAGAACCUAGGGGCAGCACAGGAAUAAAGACACAGAUGUAGAGAAUGGACUUGAGGACACGGGGAGGGGGAAGGGUAAGCUGGGACAAAAUGAGAGAGUGGCAUGGACAUAUAUAUACUACCAAAUGUAAAAUAGAUGGCUAGUGGGAAGCAGCCUCAUGGCUCAGGGAGAUCAGCUCGGUGCUUGUGUCCACCUAGAGGUGUGGGAUAGGGAGGGUGGGAGGGAGAUGCAAGAGGGGAGAGA
rnacentral:lncRNA from 1 species